rnacentral:pre_miRNA from 1 species
GAGUAGUGGUGCAGCCAAGGAUGACUUGCCGGUAAAGAUAUAUAUAAUUUCAAAAUUACCAUGUAAAACAUGAUUUAUAUUUUAUAAUCAAUCAACUAGUAAUAUACAUGCAUCUAAAUCAAAUUUAUGUUAUAUAUUGAAUGUUAUAAUAUUUAUUAUCGGCAAGUCGUCUCGGGCUAUAUUACUGUUUCA